GGGGAUUUAGCUCAGUGGUAGAGCGAGCGCUUGCCUAGGAAGCGCAAGGCCCUGGGUUCGGUCCCCAGCUCCG
rfam:Rattus norvegicus chromosome 7, whole genome shotgun sequence.